UACAGAGGAUGCAAGCGUUAUCCGGAAUGAUUGGGCGUAAAGCGUCUGUAGGUGGCUUUUUAAGUCCGCCGUCAAAUCCCAGGGCUCAACUCUGGACAGGCGGUGGAAACUACCAAGCUGGAGUACGGUAGGGGCAGAGGGAAUUUCCGGUGGAGCGGUGAAAUGCGUAGAGAUCGGAAAGAACACCAACGGCGAAAGCAGGUCUCUGGGCCACUACUGACGCUGAGAAGCGAAAGCAUGGGGAGCGAACAGG
rnacentral:rRNA from 1 species